CGUUAUCUGCGACGGAACAUAUCCCUUCUUCUUGCAAACGUCUUCCACAAUUUAAUGAAACCAACGGUACACUUUAGUCUUUACUCCGAUUAUAUGAACACCCAGAAACAGUGACUCCUUUAAACCAGAUAUAAGCAAUAACAGUCUAAUACAAUCUUGAUAUAAACGUUGCACUAAUAAAGCACUUUACGGCCUAUUUUGAGUGAUAUAUCACGUAUACAUGUUCAAAUACAGAAGCACGCCGUACUUCGAUCGUCGCAUGCUAAAAGUUUUGUGCACGGAGUUAAGAGCGACCUUUAGAAUUCCACCUUAUUGUUAUAAUUUAAACGCCCGAGUCCCGCACUCAACCCAUGGGACGUAAACACAAUUGAAUCGAAUGUUAUGCAUGG
rnacentral:lncRNA from 1 species